GGGGGGGGCAAGCGUUGUUCGGAAUUACUGGGCGUAAAGGGCUCGUAGGCGGCCAACUAAGUCAGACGUGAAAUCCCUCGGCUUAACCGGGGAACUGCGUCUGAUACUGGAUGGCUUGAGUUUGGGAGAGGGAUGCGGAAUUCCAGGUGUAGCGGUGAAAUGCGUAGAUAUCUGGAGGAACACCGGUGGCGAAGGCGGCAUCCUGGACCAACACUGACGCUGAGGAGCGAAAGCCAGGGGAGCAAACGGGAUUAGAUACCCCGGUAGUCCUGGCCCUAAACGAUGAAUGCUUGGUGUGACGGGUAUCGAUCCCUGUCGUGCCGAAGCUAACGCAUUAAGCAUUCCGCCUGGGGAGUACGGUCGCAAGGCUG
rnacentral:rRNA from 1 species